UUAAGAUAUUUGAUGAAAACACUAGUGACUUUCAUCAAGUUUCACCGGGUUAUCCAAAUGGCAUCUUGUGAUCAAAUAGGUGAUUAUCAUUGGCUGAAUUACUCAUGAAUUAUUAAUGAAUUUGAGAAGUAAUAUAUGAACAACGAGAGAGAGUGUUUCACCGGGAUAUCCAAACACGAGAAAACAAUGUAUGAAAACACGAGCGCGAGUGUUUUCAUACAUUGUUUUCGAGUGUUUGGAUAUCCCGGUGAGACACGAGCUCGAGUUGUUUAUAUGGCUUCUCAAAUGAAUCGAGACGUAACAUAAUGUUUUCGUUUGCUG